UGUACAUAAAUUAUGAAUUAAUAAAAAUUAUUUUGGCAUUUUUCAUCACAAAAUAUUUCAUCUUCUAAUGAACUCCUAUGUUGUGGUAAAGUCCUUAGGACUAUUUAGACUCGACAAAGGAGGAUUUGUCGUUUAGUCCUUAAAUUUGUUCGCAACCAAAUGAUACGUUGUUACCAAGGAUGACAACGUUUAUCAAGUAUAGGUCGUUGUGUGCCAUAUAGGUUGGUUGUCCUCUUAACCAAUGAGUGUGGAGACACUGGUAUGGCAUACAGGUG
rnacentral:lncRNA from 1 species